GGUGGUGUGGCUGAGUACUUAAGAGCAGACUUUAGAUUCAGACCUGGGUUCAAAUCCUGGCGCCAUCA
rnacentral:tRNA from 1 species